GAUGAACGCUAGCGGCAGGCCUAAUACAUGCAAGUCGAACGAGAUUGAGGAGCUUGCUUCUCAUGAAAGUGGCGCACGGGUGCGUAACGCGUAUGCAACCUACCUUAAUCAGGGGGAUAGCCUCUCGAAAGAGAGAUUAACACCGCAUAAAAUCACAAGCUGGCAUCAGCAAAUGAUCAAAUAUUUAUAGGAUUAAGAUGGGCAUGCGUGACAUUAGUUUGUUGGUGAGGUAACGGCUCACCAAGACUACGAUGUCUAGGGGAUCUGAGAGGAUGACCCCCCACACUGGUACUGAGACACGGACCAAACUCCUACGGGAGGCAGCAGUAAGGAAUAUUGGUCAAUGGAGGCAACUCUGAACCAGCCAUGCCGCGUGCAGGAAGACGGACCUACGGGUUGUAAACUGCUUUUAUACGGGAAUAAACCUCUUUACGUGUAAAGAGUUGAAUGUACUGUAAGAAUAAGGAUCGGCUAACUCC
rnacentral:rRNA from 1 species